CUCAGUUAAAAAUGACCGGUUUUUGCUCAAGUGACGUGAAUCGGCGUUUGCACACAGAUACUGCAGAAAGCGUAGGCUGUCUUUUAGGGUAUGACCACACAAUCGGGUAGUGUCGCUAUCUGAAGAAGAUCUCUGGAAAUCUCGAAGUCCUUUGUAGCAUGUGAAACGACACGUUUCUCGUCCUCCUGUUUUGCCGCAUUCUCCGGGUUUUGCGAGGACUUUCGCUGUAAUCCAGUUAUUUGUGCUACUAGAAUUCAGUUCGUGGGAGAUCCUACCGAUGUACGCCUCGCCGUAAUGGAAGAAUCGAGACCCAAAGAUGGCGGAGUCAGAUGCCAAUUGUAGUUUCUGCCUUUCGCUUUUUGACUAUUGGCCGAUGCCGUGUGACCUGAGGCAUGACCAUCUCUACUGCAGUAAUGCUAGUGGUGGGCUCUUGAUGUGCUUCUUAUAGCUGCUGGCACUGGAAACAGUCAUACAAGGGAGACUGAUGCAAAUGUUGAAUGGCACACUUCUUGCACAUUAAAUGGUUGCAUUGGAGUUCAACUGGGAUGUUGACAACUUUUCACACAGGGUGCACUUGAACGAGUCAAACAGGGCUUCUGGUGCUACUGUUUCUAUUUGUUGGAUUAGGUCAGUCAAUUUGAUUGCUGACUGACCUGUGAGAACAAGCUGAUUCUUUUUUCAAUAUUUGGGUGGUCUUCCUUCUUUCUUCUGUUGCUGACAACUACAGCAGGUGUUGCAGUUUUCUGAGUGUACCAUCCACUCUCUGCAGAAAGGUACAAGAAUAGAGGCUCCUUGCCUCUUUGUAAAUCAAUGCACCGCUAGAUGGCAGCAGACACAGAAAUUGGUAGGAUGCACAGAAACAUUAUCUGCUCCAACAUCUAUCUUGUACAACUGGAGAAUCCUGUUUUUGUGGUCUAGACAUUUGUACUGACAUCCUCUCGAUUGAACCUGGGGGCACAUAACCUGCGAAGCUCUCGUACGGAAAGGAUGUGAUGUGCCAUAUCCAUAGACUAGACUGACAACACUUGUAUACUGGUUAACU